rnacentral:rRNA from 1 species
UACAGAGGUCUCAAGCGUUGUUCGGAUUCAUUGGGCGUAAAGGGUGCGUAGGCGGCGCGGUAAGUCGGGUGUGAAAUCUUGGAGCUCAACUCCGAAACUGCAUUCGAUACUGGCGUGCUUGAGGACUGGAGAGGAGACUGGAAUUCAUGGUGUAGCAGUGAAAUGCGUAGAGAUCAUGAGGAAGACCAGUGGCGAAGGCGGGUCUCUGGACAGUUCCUGACACUGAGACACGAAGGCCAGGGGAGCAAACGGG